rnacentral:rRNA from 1 species
UACGGGAGGCAGCAGUAGGGAAUCUUCCGCAAUGGACGAAAGUCUGACGGAGCAACGCCGCGUGAGCGAUGAAGGCUCUCGGGUCGUAAAGCUCUGUUGUCAGGGAAGAACAAGUACCGGAGUAACUGCCGGUACCUUGACGGUACCUGACCAGAAAGCCACGGCUAACUACGUGCCAGCAGCCGCGGUAAU